rnacentral:rRNA from 1 species
UAGGGAAUCUUCGGCAAUGGACGAAAGUCUGACCGAGCAACGCCGCGUGAGUGAAGAAGGUUUUCGGAUCGUAAAACUCUGUUGUUAGAGAAGAACAAGGACGUUAGUAACUGAACGUCCCCUGACGGUAUCUAACCAGAAAGCCACGGCUAACUACGUGCCAGCAGCCGCGGUAAUACGUAGGUGCAAGCGUUGUCCGGAUUUAUUGGGCGUAAAGCGAGCGCAGGCGGUUUCUUAAGUCUGAUGUGAAAGCCCCCGGCUCAACCGGGGAGGGUCAUUGGAAACUGGGAGACUUGAGUGCAGAAGAGGAGAGUGGAAUUCCAUGUGUAGCGGUGAAAUGCGUAGAUAUAUGGAGGAACACCAGUGGCGAAGGCGGCUCUCUGGUCUGUAACUGACGCUGAGGCUCGAAAGCGUGGGGAGCAAACAGG